AUAGAUAGAUAGAUAGAUAGAUAGAUAGAUAGAUAGAUAGAUCGAUCUUCCAGGGACAUUAGUUGGCUGGACUCGCUCCUGCCGCUGACGUUCAUUCAAAUCAGAAAUUGCCAAAGAAAAUUAUGACUUCAAGUACUGUGAGUCAGCGCAAAUAACAUUUGCCAACAUAUUUAUGAUUUAAAAGAAUACAUUAAAUUAGCAAAAAAAUCUGCCAAUGGGAUAAGAAAAAAGGUUAGACCAAGAAUUCUAAUUUUAAGUAACAAUUAUAGUCACUAAGAUACAAACUAAGAUUAUUUUGUAAUUGAAAAACUUUCUUGAUAAGAAUAUUUGAUCUUGCAAGACAGAAAACAAUACAGUUUUUCUUGAAGCAAGUGUCUUUUUUCUCUCAGAAGAUUCCGUUUUUUUGCAGUGUAUCAUUUCUGAGGCCUGUCCGGUCUCUGUAUGACCGCAGCAGUAGCUUGGUUCGAAUAGACGGCAGUAGAUCGGACCUGGUCUCAAUGCAUGUUGGAUCUGGCAGGGCUGCCCUUAAUCACCGGUUCUAUUCAUAAUCUUCAUAGACAGAAUUUCUGGACACAGCCAGCGGCCGGAGGGGGGCUAGUUUAGGGACCUCAGGAUUUCCUCUCUGCUCUUUGUCCUGUUAGCUUCAUUGAGCCAGAAUCUCCAGGUUGCAUUGAGGUAGUUUGCAGCUGGAAUGAGGGUCAGCUCCACUAAGUCUUGAGCCAUGGUUCUUGACCGGAGAAAUUUAGUUUGUCCUCUCAAGGACGGUGGAGAGCUCUCCCUUCACCACAAAGGACCGACACAGCCACCCAAAAACAUCUGACGUUGCACUAAUCCCCCUGUCAAUGUCACCUUUCAAUCUUCACUCACUAGUGAGCAAGACCCCACCAGGAGGAGCAGGUACUGAGCCAUUAAGAACUCUGAAGACCGGCUCCCGCUGGUGACCAGAGGGGGAAACAGAGCUCCGACUUCUGACAGCCUUGGGUUCCCUCAGAGGAGCUGGAGGAUGCGGCCGGGGAGAGGGAAAUCUGGGCAUCUUUGCUACUGCUGCCGCCGUGACCCAGUCCUGGAUGAGCAAAAGAACAUGGACGGAUCGAUGAUGGGGAGACAAAGGUCUGACUUCUGACAGAGCCCCCCCCUCCUGCAAGCAGCUCCGGAAGCCCUCCGAUGCCGAGGUCGACCAUGAGGUCGGGGUGCUGGUCUGUCCGGGUGGCAUCUGUGAAAGUCGCUGAUCAGGAAGGGGUCAGCGAGGAUGUCGUCAGAUGCGACCCAGGUGCGUUCUUCUGGGCCGUGCCCAUCCCAAUCCACCAGAUAUUGAAGCCGACUCCCCCGGCGCCGGGAAUCCAGGGUCUCCCUGAUGCCAUCCACCAUUAACCCACAUCAGAGGGUUCAGACUGCGACCCUCAAUCCAAAGAACCACUGGUGGGCUUCAACAGGGAGACAUGGAAGGUAGGCAAGAUGUGGAAUUCAGGGGGUAACUGAAGACGAUAGGAUACAGAGGUGAUCUGUUUGAUGAUCUGGAAUGGACCCAAAUACCUGGGACUGAGUUUCUUGCAGGGUAGCCGUGACCGAAGAUCUCGGAUGGAAGGCCCGACUCACUGUCAGUGGGCCCCGGACAGCAUUGUUUCUUAGUUUGUUUUUUUUUAUCAUAAACUAAUGAAUUUAUGUCUGAGUUCAGGUUUGCAGCAGUAGUGAGGAGAAAAAAGGAUGAUGGCUCACCAAAGUAAACUUAAGAUGUAACAAGAGAAAAGGUCAUUUUUGUCUUGCAUUGUUUAACAUUUUUCUUAGAAGUACAUUGGCUGCACUGGAAUGAUCCUGUGUGGCAGAGGGCGUCUUUUAUUUUGUAAGGGCAUCAUCGAGCUUCUGUCAAAAGUCAAAAACAAUUUCAUAUUUUGAUAAAAUAAUAGCUUAAUUUUUCUGUUUUUAUUCAUGCCAAAAAAGAAAUAUAACUUAUAAAUUGCAAAGGUUAGAGUGUAAUAAAUACCAAGCAGCAUAACAUUUUCCUAAAGGGAUAUUGAUCAGCAAAAAA